AUCACUGUGUCCUAUAAGUGGAUACUUAUGUAAAUUUGUACACGUUUCAUUACUGCUCCUGAUUUGUUGUUGAUUUGAUGUUGUUUAUUAAUCAUUUCAAUUUUGAGGAAUAGUAUUUAAAUGUGACAUGUGUGAUACAUAAUCAUGAUUAAUCCUUUUUUUUUUUCCCCUUGACAAAAUAUUAAACUAGGCAGUGGGCAGUAGAACGUGCCUCAGUCUUUAGUGCCUGUCAUUAAUAAGAGCUUUAAUUUCUGACACUUUUAAAGAGCAAUCUGCUUCCUGCAGGCAAAUUUGCGUGCCAGAUUACUUAGUGAAGCAAGACAUCUCCCACACGGUUUGGAAUUUUAUCCAGCGGCUAAUUCCCCUUGAUGAUUACCUAGGGAAGACAGAGAAGAGCUUUCAGUUAGAUCAUAACACAAUCCCUCCUAUCUCUUACAGUAGGAAGGUAAAUCUGAAGAUAGGGCCGAGGGCCGUCUAUUCUUUCUAUUCCUGGAUGGAGGCAAAAAAAAAAGGUGUGUGUGUGUGUGUGUGUGUGUGUGUGUGUGUGUGUGUGUGAGGCUAAUAUCAGUUGGGGAGGUUGGUAGGAACAUUAUUCAAAUCUCGGAUGAGGCUUUGAAUUUUGUAAAGGAGCCGUUUGUAGGAUUAAGACUUUAAAGGCUCCCGAUCAUCAAAGUGUUUUAAUGUCACUGCUCUGUAAGGGGGUGAGUGUGUGGAGUGGUUUGGUAAACAUCGCAGCACACCUCCUUUCCCGUGCUAAUUUAAAGACCUUUUUUUUUUUUUUUUUUUUUGCUAUCUUUUCAUAUAUGCCUCGUCAUUGAUCCGUGCACUCUAAUCGAUUCUGCCUUCCUUUAAACUCUUUAUAACUAGUUCAUAACUAGUUCAUAACUAAUCACAUAUUGUAUGUAACUGUUCCGGAAUGAUCAGCUUUCAGAUGUUACAACAGUGUUGAUUCUGCAUGAAUAUCAUUUAAAGGUGUAGAUUUUAUACACGGCUACCCUCACAAAGAAUCACACCAACUUCACAUGUGAAUGAUUCAGUGAUUCGUGUGAAACAUGUACACACGUGGUUUUAAACAAUUCACUUACUUUUCCAGGCUUUUGUUGCCCGCGUCCCAACUUUUUUGAGACUUGUUGCAGCCAUCAAAAUUCAAAAUGACCUCGAACUUUUAUACAUUCAAAAUAGUACAUUUCUUCAGUUUAAACAUUUGAAAUGUUUUCUGUGGUCUAUUGUGAAUAACAUAUGGGUUGAUGAGAUUUGCAAAUCAUUGCAUUCUGUUUUUAUUUACAUUUUACACUGCGUCCCGACUUUUUUGGAAUUGGGCUUGUAUGUCAUGUGCUUCAUUUAUAUUUCUUAUAUAGUUUUUCCACAUGAUUCAUUCACUUACAUGUUUUUUGGUGAAUCUUUUCCACAAGUCAUUUAAUUUUCAUAUAUGAUUUUUUUUCCCCAUGAUUCGUUUUCUAUGUGAUCGUGUCAACAUUAUUCUUUUCUUACAUGAUUUCCGCCACAUGAUUCAUGUUUUUUCUCCAUGUGAAUUGUUUUUUUUUUUUUUUUUUCAGGAUUGUUAUUUCACACAUUUCACACGUUUCACCUGCGAUUCCCCCACCACAUGAUUCAUUUAUUUUCACAUGUGAUUUUUCCACAUGAUUCAUUUAUUUUCAUAAGUGUUUCUCUCACAUGAUUCAUUUUUCUGGUGAUUUUCCUACACGAUUCAUAUUUCCUCAUGUAAACUUUCCCACACAGUCACAUAUUAUUCAUAUCUUCUCACGUCUGAUUGAGUUCAAAUGUACAAUUUAAAGGCAUGACAUGUUAGAAUGCACCUUCACAUAUUUUUCACGUGAUCACAUUACACGUGAAAUCCGUGUAAGGUUUCUGUAAAUGUAAAACAGCUUUCCUUUAGCUUCAGUUAUCUGAGAGCGUCAUUAAUAUACAGCACUGCACACUAUGAAAUAUUUUGUUUGUCUCUUUUUUUAUUGCUCAUGAUUUUCAAAACCAGAUGUCUCGCUCCGUCUUGACAAAGAAGGACUUCGGCUUCGAAUUUAACGAUUCAGGCAGCACAAGGAGGCACAUGGGUAAUGUGGCACAAAGCCCUGCCUCUCUCUGGAGGAUGGAGGGAAACUGUGUGGCAUCUCCAGGGAUAUAGAGACAGAAUGUGGACAAUGCAUACCAGUACAAUACUCAGAAAAACAAGGAGAUGGGACAUAUGAAGGGUAUCUAUGGAAUCCAAUUAAUUAAAACCAAGGUCAUGUAAAAUGCACUGAAGUAUCAGAAUAACCCGCAUGCAUUGUGCAGGGAAUGAAUUGGAUACUGAAAAUGAGCCGCUAUCAUGUUUGUGUACGCCACCUUGUCUUAUGUGACUCAGAUGGAAUUCUUAAAGCUGAGUGUUAUUUAUGGAGCCCAUAAAGUGCAGAACUAAAAGACUGUUGAAACAAAACAAAACAAAAAACAAAAAUGGAGAAUACAACAGCAAAUAAAAAAAGCUUGCUUUUCCAUACCUAAUGUCAUAUUUCACAGGUUAACCUCAGGAAAAGCUAUAGAUUACGAAAUCUCAAUUAUGGGUAAAUUUAAGGCUAAUGCAAAUGUACUGCUGCUUCAUUGUUCUCAAUCUCCCCUUCCAUUAUAGUAUUUGUAGUAAACAAUGCAAUCAUCAGUGUCAUUAAGACACUGAACCCCAAGUUGCUCCCGAUAACGGGCUUAAUCUGCUGCCAUUGGUGUGUGUGUGUGUGUGUGUGUGUGUGUGUGUGUGUGAAUGGGUGAAUGAGAAACAGUGUAAAGCGCUUUGUAGAACCGCAAAGGUUAACAGGCGCUAUAUAAGUGCAGACCAUUACUGGAAAAUUUAGCCGAUUAGACAUUUUAUGAAGUUAAUGGCUGCAGUUGAAAUGUUAUUAAAGUGCAGUGCAUUGAAAAAGCACUGAUAAGCCCAUAUUAUAUUGCUAUAUGAUAAUGGAAUACCUUUGAGUUGCGUGAGGGGGGAAAAAACCCACUUUAGAUCAUUUAAAAAAUCUGAUUUGUUGGAUGUAAAUGAUGUUCAUUUUAAAGACAUUCCUCAACUGUGUUGUGAGACUGCACAAGCCAUUAGAUCCUAAUAUUUCACAGGUUUACCUCAGGCAAGUUUCUAGAUUAGAGAAACUCAAUCAUGGGUAAUUUUAGGCUCAGUUGCAUGUCUUGGGGUUUGGUAAUUUAUCAUGCUGGUGAAUAAAAGAACAAUUCCUUUGUAAAUGUACUUAUUUAUUAAACCAUGUUUUUCAAUAAGCAAUCAGUCUUUCUGUGGUAGGAUGCUUGUAUGAGCUGCUAUUAGUCAAUGGUGUUUAAUUUAUUUUUUUUUGUAUUCACUCUCGUUUCUCAGAAGACAGCACCGCUGCUUCAACAAACUAACCUCAUUCUUUUAUUUGAAAAGAAGAACAUUUGUACAAUUCCUAUUUAUAUAUGUAUAUGCCAUUUCUGUGGUAGUCAUUUAAUAAGCAAUUCUGUAUAGCUACAGAAUGCAGAGUAUUACAUGAGGCCACUGAGGCCACAAAGGUGAAUCACCUUCCAUGAAUCAAACACGCAAUCAAGCACACUGAUGCCAUUGUGAAAAUCAGAGCAUAAUCAAAACCUUUCUGUGUUUGACACGUGGUGUUCAAGUGAACCAUGAUCGGGGCUGCUAUUCCAGUUUAUCUACAAUUAUGUUUUUAUAUCUCACAAUUCUUAGUGAAAGCGUUUAAUUUGUCCUUCUGGAGCACAAUUUUGAAGAAGUUGUCUUUAAAUUAAUUUGUUUUCACAGACAGUCAUGGUAGAUGGCCAAAGAUAUGUCAGGACUUCUCUCUAACAACUUGCAACAAAAAAGCACUCAAUUGAUUCCAAAGGGGACAAUAUUGAUCAGAACUCAGCCUGCCUGCUAACAAUAUGGCACUGGUCUUAAUUGCUUAAGGCACAUUAUGCCAAGUGAUAUAAGCAGUCAAUAGUCAUCUGACUAUUGGCUGUGGGCCGUGCUUGAAUUUUGCAUAAAAAGCAUUUCUGAGAGAAAUGCUUCUCUUUUUUUUUUCCCCUUGCAACAAAGUUGUUACAAACAAUCCAAUUUUACUGUUACUGAAAUGGUAGAGAUAUAAGAACUACCAGUAAGGAAUAACACACAACAAGGCAUGCUAUUAUCCUAGAGCAGGGGUGUCCAAUCUUAUCCAGAAAGGGCCGGUGUGGGUGCAGGUUUUUAUUCCGACCAAGCAGAAGCCACGCCCGAGUCCAUGGAAAGCCAAGCUCAACUGAUUAAACAGGUGGAAUCAUGUGUUACUUCUGCUUAACUGGAAUUGGCUCUUUGCGAUUAAUGGUGUGUUCAAAUCAUGUUGUAACGAUCGUAUUUACGAGCUGAAUGCACAUGUACGCCACCACAAAGUCGUAUGUACGAGUGAAACUCUGGAUUUUCUUUGAGCCCAGAGUUUCCGAGUUGGGGGCGUGUCAGUAAGAAAACGUGGUGGAAUCAAUGGCUGCAGCAUCUAUAAUUGACAGUAAAUUAGUUGAAAUUGAAUGUUUACUCGCCUCAGAAGCUGAUUUCAGUUAUUGUGUGUUUGGUAUAUACAGCAAGUUAUUGAAAUACAAUCAACUUGUUUAAUAUGUCUUAAUAAGGCUUUUUUAUUUACAAUAAAAUAAAGCUAAUUGCCUGCACAAAAUACGACAGUAUUGUACAAUUGCGAUAUAAUAUGUAACGACAAAGUUUACAGCGCCUUAAUAAAUUGAUUAAAAACAACAAAAAAAAGCAAAACACACCUGAGGUGCAUUCAUAACUAAUCACGGCCAUGCAAAUAUACAGUAUAGCCGCAAUAUGCUAUAUAUCAAGUCAAGUGGAUUUUUAUUGUCAUUCCUCUAUAUAACUUGAAUACAUUGUAACGAAAUGGUGUUUCUUCAACACCAUGGUGCAACAUGAAACAGUAUACAAGACUACAUAAUUUGCAAAUACACAACAGUGUGAGAUGAGUGCAAAACAAUAAAUACACAGGAUAGUAAAUACACAGAACAUGGACUGUAGCUAUUUUGUAAUGUAGCAGCACAAACAUAGCAGCAAUACUGGCAGCAAAAACAAGUUCCAUAGGAUAAAGUGACUGAUGCAGAUACUGUAUGUAAAGUGCAAUGUGCAGUGGUAUGAGUCUUCCUGGAUUAGGUGUUUGACUAGCCCAGGUGAGUGUUGUGAAGCAGCCGGGUGUGGAGUAAUCUGAGUGCCUCAGGGAAGAAACUGUUGCGGAGUCUGUUGCAGGUGGCAGAAAUGUACCUGUACCUUCUGCCAGAUGGUAGGAGGGUGAAGAGUCCAUGAAAAGGAUGAGAGGGGUCGUCCACAAUACUGAUGGCUUUGCGGAUGCAGCGGGUGGUGAAUGAGGCGUCGAUGGUGGGUAGAGAGACCCCGAUGAUCUUUUCCGAUGUCCUCACCAUCCGCUGUACGGCCUUGUGGUCAGAGGCUGUGCAGUUCCCAUUCCAAACAAUGAGACAGCUGGUCAGGACACUCUCUAUUGUCCCUCUGUAGAAGGAGGUGAGGAUAGGAGUUUGGCUCUCUUUAGCGUCCACAGGAAGUGGACUCGCUGCUGGGCCUUCUUGAGUUGAGAGUCCAGGAGAGGUCCCCUGUCAUCUGCACACCAAGUAACCUCGAGCUUUUGACUCUCUCCACAGAUGUUCAGUUGAUGUGCAGUGGUGAGUGGUCCACUUGGGUUCUCCUGAAGUGGACAGUCAGCUAUUUAGUCUUAUCAACAUUAAGAGAUAGAUUGUUGUCUCUACACCAGUCUGCAAGCUGGUUCACCUCCUCCCUGUAUGCUGACUCAUUACUGUUGCUCAUGAGACCCACAACUGUAGUGUCAUCAGCAAACUUGAUGAUGAGAUUAGAACUGAACUUUGCAGCACAGUCAUGAAUCAGCAGGGUAAACAGCAGUGGACUGAGCACACAACCCUGGGGAGCACUGGUGCUCAGUGUGGUGGUGCUGGAGGUGGAGUUGCCAAGCCUGAAGGACUGGGGUCUCCAGGUCAGAAAGUCCAGGAUCCAGUUGCAGAGGGAGGUGUUUAAAUCCAGCAGGCUCAGCUUUAUGAGCUGGCCGGGUGUGUUGUCAGGACCUGCAGAUUUCCAUGCGUUGACACGGGACAGAGUUUUCCUGACGUCUACUGCAGCCAGACAAAGUGCUUUGCCUCUUUGUUAGCCUGGGACAGAUUGGCCCUUGCUGUGCAGAUGGCUACCUUCUCAUCACUCCUGAAGGCAGAGUCUCGGGUUUUCAGGAGCAAUCGCACUUCAGCAGUCAUCCACGGUUUCUGGUUUGCACGUGUGGUGAUGGUCUUGAAGGAAGUUACAUAAUCUAUGCAUUUGCUGUUGUAGCCAGUCACUGAUACUGUGUAUUCCUUCAAGUCUGUGAUGUGGUAUGUAGCAGCCUUUCUGAACAUAUUCAAGUCUGUGUUCUCAAAGCAGUCUUGAAAGCAAAAUGCUGAGAUGGCUCCCUCAGACCAGGUUCUAACCUGUUUUAGAACUGGUUUGGUACAUUUCAGAUGUAGUCUGUAUGCUGGGAUUUGGAUAACUGAGAUGUGGUCCGAGCUGCUGAAGUGUGUAUGGGGUGCAGCCUUGUAAGCACCGUGAAUGUUGGUAUAAACAAGGUCCAAAGUGUUGCGAAAUCAACAUGCUGGUCGAACUUUGAAAGCAGCGAUUUCAAAUUUGUGUGGUUAAAAUUAAAAAUCCGUCGGGAUGCGCUGUCUGUAAGUUACUGAUAGACCUGUAGACUUCACAGUGGAAUGUACACUGUGACAGUGAGCAUGGUGGUAAACUCUCUGGGCAGGUAAUUUGGUCUGCAUUUCACGGUCAUAAACUCCACCACUGAUGAACAAUAGCUUGAAACCACAAUGGCAUUCCUGCACCAUUCGUUGUUUUGUAAACACACAGACCACCGCCACAAGUAUUACCGGGCAGUGCUGCUAUCCUGUCGGUGUGAUGUGCGGUUAGCCCGGCUAGCUGAAUGGCUGUGUCCGGAAUGCUGUCGUUGAGCCAUGUUUCUGUAAAAAUUAAAACACAGCAGUGAUUUCACGCUGGGUUUCAUGCUACUUUCACCCUGAUUUCACGCUGGGUAGUUAACUGUAGUUUGAGUAGGUCCAGUUUAUUGUCAAGAGAGCGAACAUUGGAGAGGAGAAUGGAUGAUAGAGCUGGACGGCUUGGGUUAGCCUUUAGCCUAGCACGGAUGCCGGCUCGCUUUCCUUGCAAACCAUUUCCAAUGCCCUCUCUUCUGGCCAGCUGCAUCAAGCAAUACCCUGGUCCCAGUUCGCGUAAUAGCCCGAGGUCUCGUAGUUCAUCCCGCAGUCCUUCGUUUAUUCUUCCUGAGCUUUGUUAACCAAUGUUCAUCAGAAUCUGGUGAUGGUAGACAUGUACACCAGUGCUUCCGAUGUACAUCUGUUUAAAAUGUUUCCAAAUUGGUAUAGGCUACACAUAACAUGCACCAUAUCAGUGGAUCCGAAAUGGCCGCUGCAUGCUACCGCGCCGCCAUCUUGAAUCCAACUGUAUGUUCAAUAUAUUCAGCAUAACUAGAUUUUUUAAACAGGUCUAUAAGCAAGAAAUUAAUAUCAGAUAAGUGACAUUUUGCAAACAGUAUGGGCAAAUGUUGUUUAUUUUUGCUCUGCUAGAGUAAAUGGAUCCUGAAGAGGCCACACUCACUUAAUGGCUUCUCUUUGCUCACAGAUUGACCCAUUAAAGGAGCUUCCGGUAAAGUUGGCGUCCCUUCUUCCUUUUCAUCUUCAUCUGACGAGCUUUCAUAUUUUAUAACAGAAGUUACAUUCAUGAAAAAUAGUCAUGUUUACCAUGUCCGCUGAUGAUGUUGCUAACCUAUUUUAGUAGCUAUUUAGAACUAGGAAGUGGUGAACACAGACAAGUGAAGUGAUACACACAGUGACAUGUUCCACUGCGGUUAUAGGAAAUAUAAGCCUUCUUGGAACGCCACCAGACCAACCGAAUUAGUGGACCAGAACGAACUGUUGGUAUAAUUUUCUAUAAAAGCAGUUCUGAUAGUAAUGCAGAUCACAAGACAAAUCACAGGAUUAUAUUAAUGAGCUUAAUUCGUUAAUACAUUAUUGUUUCCAUACUAACAACUUGCGCAGAGACUUGUAUCGUGGACGCUCCACAUAAUAUAAGGCUAAAAAUAAAUAGAUUUAUUGUCAGUGUCAGGAUUUCGUCCAGUGUCAGGAUGUCGUCACGGUCAGUAGGUUUUUAGGACCAAGGAAAUGCACUUUCUCUGUAACAUAACUAGCUGCAUUUUUUGUUUGAAUAACAUCAACUUAGAGGUUGAUGAGGGAAUGAUUGUUUAUAGCUGCUACAAUGUAGCAUUCUACCACAUUAACAUAACUAUAAAUAGAUACAAAUUAUUCAAGUAAUAAAUUAAAAAUUGUAAUAAUUGGCAAACUGCUGUGGUAUAAGAAGAAUACAACACUUCAGGAUGUUCUGUUGUAGGAAAAAAAAAAAAACAGCUUUGGGUUGGUAACUGUAACUCUGCUUUGCAUCGGGUUACAUCACACCUGUCCUUGAUUACUGUCCUAUCACAGCAUGCAGCCUAGUGGUUUUUCUUUUUCAUAUUUGCUAAAAGUUUUUCUAAGCUCCACUGUUGGUCUUUGUGUUUUUGUGUGGAAGAGAUAGACCCCUGGUGUCCUGCUUGCUGUUUCUGUACAUAAGCACUUUGCUGACUUUCUGCUUACUCUUUCUAAGCAGUUUCGUGCGCGCGCGCGUGCGUGUGUGUGUAUGUAUGCGUGCGCAUUGUGUGUAUGUGAUUGUGAUCCCACCGCUCCUUGUGUUUGCGUUCCGGCCUGCUGAAAGCUCAGUUCCACUGCUGAACACUCCCCAACGUCUUAAAGUGGAUUUUCAAAGGUUUUAGUCACGAGCAGCCCAACAAGCACACACACACACCUGCGUCGCACCGAUUGUGGCAACUGCUGCUUAGAAAUUUUGCUUUCAUCCCUGGUUUCUCUGUCUAGGUUGCACAGUGUUAGCAGUAAUAUUUCAGGGAUUAUUUAUUUGCUUUACUAUUUUGUCAUUUCAGCAUCAGUGACAGCCUUAGUCGCUUCUUUUUUGUGGAUCAGUUUGAAUCAGCAAAAUAUUGUAGCCCAUUUUUUCCCCAUGAACAUGCUCGUCAGGCACUUAACGUUUGCUUCAUGUUAAUCGAACUCAAUAGAAUGUGGGAUAAUGUUUAAUUGAUUAGGUGAGAGAUUCAUUGACGAUCACCAAUGAUGAUUUCAGCAUUCAGCUCUGCAGUUGACUGUUGUGCAGCUUUAUUACUGCAGUUCCCACAAAAAGUGACUUUUUUCCCCAUUUAUGUUAAUGGAACAUUCUCAGCAUUUAAUAAUGCACGGAAUGUGCGUAAAGGAUGUGCUGCAUAGACACUAUGCUAUAUUGUGUAUGGUUCUUCAAAUCACCUAUAAAAGCUCAUUUGUAGAUUAAUAGAAGCAAGUUGUAUCUCAGUCUACAUCAGAGCUGGGCAAUUUGAAAAUGUGAUAAAUAUUUUAGCAAAGAAUCUUUAGCAAAGAGUCUGGUUUGUUGUCACAUCAGAACAAGUUGUUGUGAUGAGAGAUAACACAUUAAAUUACAAUUUCCAAAAAAGUAGGGACAAGGGCAAUUUAAGACUAAUAGCAAUUUGAUAAUUUGUCAAUCAAGAAGCUGAUGUGAAACAGGUGAGGCAACCGUCUAAUCAUAGUAUAUAAGGAGCCGGCAAGACAGGCCUAGUAUUCCAAGAGCAAGGAUGGGUCGAGGUUCGCUAAUCUGCCAACAGAUGCGUCAGCAAAUAAUCCAACACUUUGAGACCAACAUUCCCCAAAGACAAAUCUGUAGGAUUUUGGGCAUUUCACCUUCUACAGUGCAAAAUAUAAUUCAAAGAUUCAAGGAAUCCGGUCAAAGACUGGUGCGUAAAGGGCACAUCUGAGAUGGACAGUAGCACAGUGGAAUCGUGUUUUGUGGUCCAACGAGUCAACAUUUCAAAAGGUUUUUGGACAAAACAGCCGUCGUGUCAAAACAGACGCUGGCCAAAGAGGAAAAGGACCAUCCAAGCUGUUAUCAGCGUCAGGUCCAAAAGCCAGCGUCUGUCAUGGUAUGGGGGUGUGUCAGUGCCCAUGGCAUGGGUAACUUGCACAUCUGUGAGGACAUCAUUAAUGCAGAAAGAUAUGUACACAUUUUGGAGUAUCAUAUGCUGCCAUCCAGAGCAGCACAACACUAAACCACACUCUGCCCAGAUUACAAGCGCAUGGUUGUGUAAGCUGAGUGCUAGCAUGGCCUGCCUGCAGCCCUGACCUGUCAACUGAGAAUAUCUGACACAUUAUGAAGUGGAAAAUAAGGCAUCGAAGGCCCCGUAUAGCUGCGCAGCUGGAGAAAUGCAUAAUGGAUGAAUGGGGGAAAAUUCCGCUUGAUAAACUUAACCAACUGGUGUCUUCACUCAGCACCCAAACUCUUAAUAAAUGCUAUUAAAAGAAAAGGUGAUGACACACAGUGGUAAACAGUCGACUGUCCCAACUUUUCUGGAGUGUGUUGCAGACAUCAUCAGAUUUGAAAUGAGUGUAUAUUUUCAAAAAGAAAUUAAAUUCACAAAGUAAAACAUCAAAUAAUGUGUUCCAUGUGUUUUUAAUAUAGUACAGGGUGAAUUGAAUUCUCAAAUGACUUUCAAAUUUAUUUUUAUUUUUUUUUGCAUUUUUAAAAAUUAUCAAUUUGGAAUUGGGGUUGUAAACUUCUUAAAACUACAAAAGAUGGGUUAAACAGCAGGUAGCAGGCAGCAGUAGAUAACCAUAUUCAAUCAAUGUCUAAUGCUGUAUAACAGUGUACUCAAUGGAAUAUGGAGACAACAUGACCUUUGACUAGGAAAUCACCAUGUCAAAUUCUACAUUUAAAAAGCAUUUACCAAAAUGACCUGAAGUCGCAGUCAAAAUGGUUCACAUUGACCUCUAAAUUAUAAUCCUUUUUUCUCAGUUUUUAUUUCACAUAUGAUUUGAUACAACAUGUAAACAAGCAACAUGAUGUUUAAUGAUGCAGCAUGAUGUUUAAAUUCAUUCAUUCGUUUUCAGUAAGCACUUCAUCCUGUUUAGGGUCACAAUCUGGGGCCUAUACCAUAAACACUGGGUGUGAGGUGGGAAUACACCCUGGAUGGGAUGCUGGGCCGUUACAGAGCCAUACACCAUACACACUGUUUCACACCUAGGGGAAAUUUAGUUUAUCUAGUGAAUUUAGUGUGGGAAGGGUUAGGGAACUCCACAUGGACAGAAAACUGAGCUCAGGAUCAAACUGUGGACCCUGAAGCUGUAAGGCAGCAUGCUCACCACUUCUUCACCAUCCCACUGCUAAUGUUUCCAUUUGUAACGUAAUAUACAUGGUUUAUGCUUAAUGCUAGCUAGAGGGGUUUUUAAAAAAGAAAAAAAAAAGAAAAAAAAAACAAGCUCUUUUUUGAUAAUUGCAAAACGGUGUUGCAUAAAUAACUGACUUUAUUUUGGUCUUUUAAUUCCUUCAGUAGACAUAUAGUAUAAGGUUAUAAAGGAACUAUUUCCCAUACAAACAUCAGUUUGCUCAUUGUAUUUGUUGCUGUCUCCAGGAAUAGAUGGACAAGAAGAGAUACUGUAGAGAUUACUGCAGGGAAACAGUUCAAAUUUAGCUAGACGGCUGCAAAUUUCCAGAGAUAAUGUCGAUAAAACAAAAUGUCAGUACAGGUAAACAUUUUGAUUGCACAUCUUUGCCUGAAGAUCCCAAGAGCAUCACUGCUGAUUCAGUUUCAUCCUGCUGGUAAUCACACCUGAUAUCCCAGACAUAAACCAAUCACUCCUGUCACUUUGCCAUUGCCUGGACCUCUUCAGGGUAGAAAGGAGCAUGUUUUUUCAUUUGUCCUACAUGUAAAACACACACACAAAGAUUAAUCAGCCAUGACAUUAAAACCACCUGCCUAAUAUUGUGUACACCAAGUGUCACCGAAACAGCUCUGAUCUGUGAAGGCAUGGACUCCACAAGACUUCUGAAGGUUUGCUGUGGUAUUUGUCAGCAAGAUGUUAGCAGGAGAUCCUUUAAGUCUUGUAAGUUGUGAGGUGAGGCCUCCAUGGAUCGAACUUGUUUGUCCAGCACAUCCCACAGAUGUUCGAUCAUACUGAGGACUGGGGAAUUUGGAGGCAAAGUCAACACCUUGAACUCUUUGUCAUGUUCCUCAUACCAUUCCAUUAGGUGCUUUCAGUGGUGGACAGGGGUCUGCAAUCUGAUUGGUCUGUGGCUACGUAGCCCGAUAAGCAGCAAGCAGAAUUGCACUGUGUGUUCUGACACCUUUCUAUCAUAACCAACAUUACCUUCUUCAACAAUUUGUGAUACAGUGGGAUCAGACCAGAUGGGCUAGCCUUCACUUCCCACAUACAUCAAUGAGCUUUGGGCACCCAUGACAUUGUCGCCGGUUCACCGGGUGUCCUUCCUUGGACUGAUUUUAGUAGGUACUAACUACUGUAUACUGGGAACACCCCGGUUCUGAGAUGCUCUGACUCAGUCAUCUAGCCAUCACAAUUUGGCCCUUGUCAAAAUCGCACACAUUCUUACCCAUGCCCAUUUUUCCUACUCCCAACACAUCAACUUUGAGAACUGACUAUUUACUUGCUGCCUAAUAUAUCCCACCCCUUGACAGGUGCCAUUUAUCUGCAUGUAAUUAAUAGUAGAUAUAGUCAUUAAUAGUAGUUAGGUAGUCUAUCUUUGACUCAACAGAAAUGGAUCAAAUAAAUGCCUUCUGAUUUGAAGCACAAAUUUUAAAGCUCUGUCAUUUAUUAUUAAUGCUCUCAAUAUAAAUAGUUUAGGUCCUAUUAAUAUUUCAUGACGGCAAGGGAAAAUAUUUGGGUGAUUGCUGGUAAACUUGAUGACAGUGUCUUGAGGCUUACACACUGCAGGUAAUAAUUAUAAAUAAAUAUGUGUUCUGUUUGCCGGCUGUAUGUACAGUGUAUUUCAGCUAUAGGAUGCAUUUGUAUAUGAUGAUGUUUACAGAAAUUACAUUCACAAUAACCCUCACUGACAUUAUGUAUUAAAAUUUGUGCAUUGUACAUCACUGUUAUCGUUUAUACCAGAGUGCUGUUAAAUUCUCAAAUCUGCUUAGUCAGAAUGUGUUGAUCAAUGACAGCAGCUCUGACAGUAGUGGUAGCAUGUUACUAUGGGGCAGUGGUCGGUCAGUGGUUAAGCCAUUGGCCUAUUAAUCAAAAGAUCAUGAGCUCAAAUCCCAGCACCACCAAACUGCCACCAGUGGGUUCCUGAGCAAGGCCCUUAACCCUCAACUGCUCAAAUACACUGUAUAAAUGAGAUAAAUGUACAUUGCUCUGGGUAUAUGUUAUAUAUUUUUUUAUAGUAACAGCUUACACAGUGUGCUAUGACCGUUGUGUGAUGUUUAUUUGGCAUAUGUGGAAGUAGUCUCUAAUGUCAACGCUUUCUGUCCUAGGUAAAGCUGUUCCUUUAGGUUUUCCUCAUUGAGAACGUCUUUAGGAUAGAGGGCUUUGCAGUUUCUCUGUAGCAUGACAAUUUGUGAUUUUUGUUAUGUUUUGUUGUCUUUUAUUAGAGGAAAGAGAGGUUUGUAAGGGAAUGACUGUUUAUACAGUACCUGCUAUAUAAUAAGUGAUAACAGGAGAUGUUCCACAACAUUAAACAUAACUAUAAAUGGAAAAAGUGCACCCCAUAUUGUUUUGUUUCUUAUAUAAAGAAUCAAUAUUUAAUUAAAUUCUAGUAGCAUCAAUUUACUGACCUGCAAAAUCCGUAGGCAAGUGUAUUGCUGCAAAAGACUUGACUUUGCAUACUCCAAUGCUUUUCCUUUUUCACAAGGAAAGAUGCACAGGGCCAGAGAACAGCAUCAGCAUAUUUAAUAUCCCGGGGCUGAGGAGAUGGUCCAAGAGCCCAGUCGUGUUAAGACAGGACUGUAACAUUAGUUCCCCUUCUGGCUGCAGGAUCAAUUCCUACAACCGCAGAUGCUUGUCUGAAUUGAACCAUAUUCUUUUGGUUAUAGGUGCAGGUCUUUAAAGGAUUAUUCAAUACUCUUUCAACCUAAUCUCAGUCUAUUACAUCUGGACCACUGAGUACCACAGACACAAAUUAUGACACAUUUCCCUGGCCCGAGAAAUGAACAGAAAACCAGUUUAUUCAAAUGAUACGUAUACUUGAUGUCUAAG
ensembl:lncRNA